GAUGAACGCUGGCGGCGUGCCUAAUACAUGCAACUCGAGCGAACAGAUGAGGAGCUUGCUCCUCUGACGUUAGCGGCGGACGGGUGAGUAACACGUGGAUAACCUACCUAUAAGACUGGGAUAACUUCGGGAAACCGGAGCUAAUACCGGAUAAUAUAUUGAACCGCAUGGUUCAAUAGUGAAAGACGGUUUUGCUGUCACUUAUAGAUGGAUCCGCGCCGCAUUAGCUAGUUGGUAAGGUAACGGCUUACCAAGGCGACGAUGCGUAGCCGACCUGAGAGGGUGAUCGGCCACACUGGAACUGAGACACGGUCCAGACUCCUACGGGAGGCAGCAGUAGGGAAUCUUCCGCAAUGGGCGAAAGCCUGACGGAGCAACGCCGCGUGAGUGAUGAAGGUCUUCGGAUCGUAAAACUCUGUUAUUAGGGAAGAACAAAUGUGUAAGUAACUAUGCACGUCUUGACGGUACCUAAUCAGAAAGCCACGGCUAACUACGUG
rnacentral:rRNA from 1 species